rnacentral:rRNA from 1 species
GCGACCCCAGGUCAGGCGGGCU